GGAGGGCAAGUCUGGUGCCAGCAGCCGCGGUAAUUCCAGCUCCAAUAGCGUAUAUUAAAGUUGUUGCAGUUAAAAAGCUCGUAGUUGAAUUUCGGGGUCAGUAGGUCGGUCAUGCCACAGGUAUGUACUGGUCUCACUGAUUCCUCCUUCCUGAUGAACCGUAAUGCCAUUAAUUUGGUGUUGCGGGGAGACUGGACUGUUACUUUGAAAAAAUUAGAGUGUUUAAAGCAGGCUAACGCUUGAAUACAUUAGCAUGGAAUAACGGAAUAGGACGUUCGAUCUUAUUUUGUUGGUUUCUAAGAUUGACGUAAUGAUUAAUAGGGAUAGUUGGGGGCAUUAGUAUUCAAUUGUCAGAGGUGAAAUUCUUGGAUUUAUUGAAGACUAACUACUGCGAAAGCAUUUGCCAAGGAUGUUUUCAUUAAUCAAGAACGAAAGUUAGGGGAUCGAAGACGAUCAGAUACCGUCGUAGUCUUAACCAUAAACUAUGCCGACUAGGGAUCGGAUGAUGUUAAUUUUUUAAUGACUCAUUUGGCACCUUACGGGAAAC
rnacentral:rRNA from 1 species